CGCUCUGUUACCGCUCUGUUACCGCUCUGUUACCGUUCUGUUACCGUUCUGUUACCGUUCUGUUACCGCUCUGUUACCGCUCUGUUACCGUUCUGUUACCGUUCUGUUACCGCUCUGUUACCGCUCUGUUACCGUUCUGUUCCUGUUCUGUCAGGAAUCCUCUCUCUAAUAACUCAUUUAUUUUCUAACACAAUGUUGUGAGCAGAGAUGCAGUUUUCACAAAUUGGUAGCGGAUUGAUAUUUAUUUUUUAUUUUUUAAUGGUUCUAAAAUCGGAGGAUAUUUUCGUAUCUUGAUCUGAUGUUUACAGAACGUGAUGUAAUGCCGUGCAGUCAGUGACUGUCAGGACAUGUAUAGUACCAGAGGAGGGAUAUGGUCUCCGAGUUGGUCUCUUUAGGUGUCCUUUUAUGUGUGUUGAGUAACGCUGUUCGUUCCGUUUGUCUGUGUUAGACGGUCUUGUUGUUGCCUGUAGUGGGAGAUUUGAAAGGUUAGUUGUAUAGGGAGUCCUCUAGCCUGUUGGCAGUGUAUUUAGCUGUAGAAGAUAUUCCACAAGUGUCCCCGAGUGUUUUAGACAAGGCCUUUCUUCAUUGUCAUCAUCAUCAUCAUCAUCAGAAAUGUUAACAGUAGAAAGCUUCCUAUUUCUAAUGGACUGGUUUCUAAAAUCAAACAAUUUUUUAAUUGGCUGAAUUAUUAAUGAUCCUGAAAUGAGGCCCUCUUCCCCUCUGUCGUCCGCUCAUAUCAGCCAGCGGGUCAUUAUUGAUUAUUGGAACCGGCGAUUUACCGAUCAAGAAUCUCUCUCCCGUGUGCUCCUGCGUUGUUUCAGGGAAUUCCACAAACGGUCCUUCCCUCUUUUGUCCUGUGACUGCGGUGUGAACGAAACGGUCCUUCGGUCAUAUUUCAGUGUGUCGUGUACCAGCUGCUCUCUAAACGGUAGUGUCCAUGUUAAAGUCAGUGGUCGUAUCUGACUGUAUCUAACAGAUGGAAAUUGUCAUUUUGAAAGUAUCGAAAAAGGGGUUUCUGAAAUACAAAACGUGAAAAACUCGUAAAAGAACCACUGUUGCCACGAGGACGUGGAUUAUAACAUAUGAAAUUGAUGUUGGGGGUUUAACGUGGGGCGUAUUUCCUGUUCUCACUGCGCUACGCCUUUACGCCUCUGACGCGCCGUGUCAUUCCUGAAAAGCAGUUUGACUGUCUAACUCCGAGCGAACCUAAUUAACGUACUGUACUCUCUCCGUGGUGUCUGUCCAAUGAAAUGAGCAGUAGCUUGCCAGCGGGUUGGACUGUGUUCACUACCAUUGUGUAGAACCUAGACAGACUUCAUACUAGGAACAUUAGAAUCUCCUGAUUUAGAUUUAAUUUUCAUACAAUCUGAAUAUCUGUUUAUCAGCCACUGAUGUCAUUCAGAGUAUCGUGUUUUAUAGUGAUAUACGUUUUAAGGUGACAUAAAAGAGACCGUUGUUGGCGUGCUCGGACAACUCUCCUCGUGGUUUUGUCUUGAACUUUAAGCUUUUGGACGUGGAAAUGUUUCCUUAACAUUUUUAAAAACCAAGAUUUGUAACAAAUUUAAAUAAAAUCAUUAAAAAAAAAAGGAAAAUUGAUGUUAAAAAAAGGGGUCAGAAUGUGAUCCCGGUUUGCUGCCUCCUGCUCUGCUGAGCAGCGUCUCUGUACAGUCAUCUCUUACCACCAUAACAUGGUGUCAGAAGUGAAUCACCCUCAUCAAAUAAUAACAACCGAGUUCAUCUGAUAUAAGACCGGAAAAACAUCGUUAGACUCGACACGAGAGAAUAUCUGACAGAAAAUAAUACUAUUACGUGAGUUUGGUCGGGUUUUUUUUUUUUUUUUUUUUUUUGUGAAGGAAAAAGAAGCUGAAAGCUCUGUCUCUCUCUCAUCUUCCGAGCGGAGACGUUGCUAUGCAACAGGCAGAGAGCACAUGGAGCAGAAGCAGAACAAUGUAGGGCCCCAGAGGUGAGCAGGGUCCCAGAGGUGCGCAGGGCCCCAGAGGUGCGCAGGGCCCCAGAGGUGAGCAGCUAACAGAGAAAGUUAUUUCUGAUUUUGGGUUAGGACAGAUGCUAAAUGAAACAAAAAAACAUUUAUUUUUUGGUUAGGUUUUUUUUUUAAAUUCACAAUCCCAAUGUUUUGUUUUAACUUUCUCAACUCUACUUCGCUAGUUCAUUAAUCGUUUCAUCCUCUACCUAUCAUUUUGAAACCUUCAGGACUUGACUGCCCUGUCUCUGACUGGUCAUAUUUUCUCUGACUGGUCAUAUUGUCUCUGACUGGUCAUAUUGUCUCUGCCCUGUCUCUGACUGGUCAUAUUGUCUCUGACUGGUCAUAUUGUCUCUGCCCUGUCUCUGACUGGUCAUAUUGUCUCUGACUGGUCAUAUUGUCUCUGCCCUGUCUCUGACUGGUCAUAUUUUCUCUGCCCUGUCUCUGACUGGUCAUAUUGUCUCUGACUGGUCAUAUUGUCUCUGCCCUGUCUCUGACUGGUCAUAUUGUCUCUGACUGGUCAUAUUGUCUCUGCCCUGUCUCUGACUGGUCAUAUUGUCUCUGCCCUGUCUCUGACUGGUCAUAUUGUCUCUGACUGGUCAUAUUGUCUCUGCCCUGUCUCUGACUGGUCAUAUUUUCUCUGCCCUGUCUCUGACUGGUCAUAUUGUCUCUGACUGGUCAUAUUGUCUCUGCCCUGUCUCUGACUGGUCAUAUUGUCUCUGACUGGUCAUAUUGUCUCUGCCCUGUCUCUGACUGGUCAUAUUGUCUCUGCCCUGUCUCUGACUGGUCAUAUUGUCUCUGACUGGUCAUAUUGUCUCUGCCCUGUCUCUGACUGGUCA
ensembl:lncRNA